UAAUCUAUUAAAUAUACUACAAGAAAUUUUAACGAAACAAAUGUAUUUUCAAAGUUGGCGUGGUGAUAAGAUCUAUCUUAAGUGUUCUUAACUUAAGUACGUGUCAUAAAACUUAUUAGGGAUAAUUAGGUAAUUUUUUUAAAUUUUUGUAAAAAAUUUCCAUAGUAAUGGCUAAAACUGGGUAAAAACGGUUCUUCAAUUUACUUGCAAAAGCAAUUUACAAAAAAUCUCUCAAUUCAAUCUUAACAAUUGAUAAAUCAUUUACAGCAAUCAAUUCAAUUUAUUUUCAAGCCAAACUCAUCAUAAAAGAAACAGUUCAUUAAUUACAAAAUUCAGGAAGAAAUUUGAAUAUUACAUUCAUUAGGGUAAUAAAAUUAAUAUUAUA
rnacentral:misc_RNA from 1 species